CUUCCUCACCCUCGUAAGACUACCCGCUGAACUUAAGCAUAUCAAUAAGCGGAGGA
rnacentral:rRNA from 1 species